UACGGAGGGGGCUAGCGUUGUUCGGAAUUACUGGGCGUAAAGCGCACGUAGGCGGCUUCGCAAGUCAGAGGUGAAAGCCCGGGGCUCAACCGCGGAACUGCCUCUGAGACUGCGUCGCUCGAAUCCGGGAGAGGCGGGCGGAAUUCCUGGUGUAGAGGUGAAAUUCGUAGAGAUUCGGAAGAACACCAGUGGCGAAGGCGGCCCGCUGGACUGGAACUGACGCUGAGGUGCGAAAGCGUGGGGAGCAAACAGG
rnacentral:rRNA from 1 species